rnacentral:rRNA from 1 species
UGGGGAAUUUUGGACAAUGGGCGCAAGCCUGAUCCAGCCAUGCCGCGUGAGUGAAGAAGGCCUUCGGGUUGUAAAGCUCUUUCGGCGGGGACGAAACGGUUCGUGACAACACCACGGACUAAUGACGGUACCCGCAUAAGAAGCACCGGCUAACUACGUGCCAGCAGCCGCGGUAAUACGUAGGGUGCAGGCGUUAAUCGGAAUUACUGGGCGUAAAGCGUGCGCAGGCGGUUAUGCAAGACAGAUGUGAAAUCCCCGGGCUCAACCUGGGAACUGCAUUUGUGACUGUAUAGCUAGAGUACGGUAGAGGGGGAUGGAAUUCCGCGUGUAGCAGUGAAAUGCGUAGAUAUGCGGAGGAACACCGAUGGCGAAGGCAAUCCCCUGGACCUGUACUGACGCUCAUGCACGAAAGCGUGGGGAGCAAACAGGAUUAGAUACCCCCGUAGUCCCUGAGCGGGCUGGCAAGGCGCAU